GGGGGGCGCGGACACGCGUGGUGUGCGCGGUCCCCGUGCAGCCCGCCCUGCCGCAGGCUGCCCUCCACCCCCAGCCCCAGCUCCAGCCCCCAGCCCGUCCCCACUGCUCAUAUCCGAGCAGAUAGACCCCGGCCCCACCCUCCCGUGCUGAGCCUCCUUUCUGCCGGGAAGUUCGUCCGGGAGUCAAACAUCGCUGCCCUCCGGUUGCGCCACGGAGGGGGAGCCAGGAUAGGAAGCUGCCGUGAAAUCAGGAAGCUGAGCGCGCCGGGCCCCGGAUCCGAACAGAAAAGGCUUCCACCCGCUCCCCUGAGGGAUCCCACGCUGAGGGACUGAACCCCGCACCCCAGCCGCGCUCACCACCCCCACCCUCUCGCCUGGGCUGCUCUGACCUGGGGUUCACUUUCUGAAGAUGAUUCUGAAGAAGAGGAGGAAUUGGAAGAGGAAUCCGAGCCUUCUGAAUGAGUUGGUUUCUUCCUUUUUUUCUCAAAAACUUUUAAGAAACAUUAAUAAAAACAUUAGUACUAAA
rnacentral:lncRNA from 10 species